UGGUGGAGUGGUUUGUCUGGUUGAUUCCGUUAACGAACGAGACCAAUAUCAUAUUUUUGUAUCAACGAAACGACUUGUUGUGAAGCGAGGCGCGCGUGUGGGCAGCGAUGUCCGCUCUCCGCCUUGUGAAUCAGUGUCGAUUUCGGCUUGAUCAUAUUAUGAGACUUUUGAUUUUCAAGUCAAAGGAAGUUAUUGGCAAUAACA
rnacentral:rRNA from 1 species